rnacentral:lncRNA from 10 species
CUCAAAUGUGCCAAGAUAUUUCCAACAUCAGGACAUUUGAUCCCUUGCACAUUGCUGUUUUCCCAGUCUUUGAGCUCACAUGUCACCUCCCAGAUCUGGCCCUGUCUAGGUGGGGAAUUCAUGUGGAGUUUUCUGUUUUCUAGGCUGAGCCAUGCAGGAUUCAUCAGUCUGUCCCAGGGAACUUCCUGGGAUGGUUGUCUGGGUUAGUUUCCUCCCUGGGCUUGGGUUGGCCAAGGAGAGGAGAGAAAGACUUCAUUGAAACCUCUUGCAAAUAUUUUUAAAGAAGAGAAAGGAAAGCAAGAGGCCGCUGGCUGGGAGCAGCACUCUAGCCAUCGAUUGGGUAAUUGGAAGCCCUCGGGUGUGAGUCCUCAUUAAGGCAGAGGGCUAUGAAUCAUUUUCUAAUGACACCUCUUCGAUCCCAGCAGCUCAGCAUGCAGCCUGCCUCCACGGUUGGGCUGCAAGCCAGGGGAGCCGCGGGGUCUGCAACCAGGCUGCCUGCCAUAUGUUGUUUCUUGCAAUUAGCAGGUGCUUGGGGUGUGGGCUGGGCACCCAGAGGGCAAGGCGACUGCCUCUGCCAGGGAAACUCUCGUGAGCCAUACCAAGAGCUCAGGAAGAGAAACAAGGUGGCUGGGGGUUGAUGGGCAACCCCCAGGGCCAGUAAGAUGUGCUGGUCACGAAAGAAAUCUCUGUUUGCAGACAGUUUUAUUCCUGUACAGGUAUUUACAGCUUGCUACUGCAAAUUGAUGGAUCUUUAUUUCUGGAACUGUAGUCAUUCUUGCAGGUCCGUCGGUGCAGACAUUUUGGGAUAGUCCUUUGAUGUCUAUCAUCACACUAUGGAAGGGAGAAGAAGAAGACGGGACAAAAGGGCUGUUUUUAAUCCAGUGGCUCGGCGUUGGAAGAGAUUGGAUCCUCACAGAGAAUGCUGGUUGCAUUUCCACCAAGCUCUGGAUCACAUGGAGUGAGCAAAGCUUUCCCAGAAGUUCUGCAGCAGAAUUUCCAUCGUAUUUCAAUGACCAGAGCUGAGUCAUGUGCUUGUGCUUUGAAGAUUGCUUGACAAUGAGAAAAUCACUGUCUGCAGCAUGGAAAAAGAUCCUCACCAGAACCAGAUCAUGUUGGCACCCGAAUCUUGGACUUCCAGCUUCCAGAACUCUAAACAAGCACUGGCCUCAAGAUAAGCAAUAUUAAAACAAUUACAGCUCAUCCAGCUGGCAGAUGCUGAUUAACUGACCCCCUGUUUCACCAGCCACAACUACAGCUUGGAUUGGACAAGGAACUGAUUUCAGUAACUUUCUCCUGAUAAGAAGACCAGCGACCAUGGACUGCUUCUGGCCAAUUUACAGAGAUUGUGGACUCGUAUGCUUUCAUGUCCUGAAAAGACCCUUUGAUGCAUAGGGCCUAAUUAUAAUACAGUUAAAUGUUGUAUCUCCACCCCAAAGUGAACAUGGGUCAUAUGUCACAUGCAUGUGUGUUAAACACACAUGCAUCAGGACCUCCUUCAUGAAUAUUCAUAGCUUCUCCUGUAACCUGUUGAAUAUGUAUGUUUAGCCAAAACAUUUACCAUAAAUAUCUUACCUCAACCCCUCCUUCAAAGUGCUUCUCUCUGGGCUGUUGGCCAGAGGCUGUGCUUCUCAGCCUGCGGAAUGGCCACUUUGUAGGCUGUAACCCUUUGCAAUAAAUAAAACCUCCCUCUUUUCUUUUCUAAAUUUAUAUAUUGUGAUUUUUUUUUUUUUUUUUUAGCUAACAUUACAGACUUGGGGGUAGAAUGGGAACUGCCUUCCAAGACUUUGUUAUUGGCUGAAUUCUGUACCCCCAAAAGUCAUAUGUUGAAGUCCUGACCCCCAGUACCUCAGACUGUGAAUAUAUUUGGUGAUAUGGUCUGUAAAGAAGUAAAUAAGUUAAAAAUGAGGCUAUCAGGGUCAGCCCUAAUUCAAUAAGACUGGUUGUCUUGUAAGAAGAGAUUAAGACGCACACAUACACAGAGACAAGAUGACCAUCUACAAGCUAAGGAGGGAGGCAUCAGAAGAAACCAGUUCUGCUGACACCUUGAUCUCAGACUCCCAGCCUCCAGACUUGUGAGACAAUAAAAAGUCUAUUGUUUAAGCCAC